AUGCUUGUCGUGACCACUUCCUUCUCUUUAUUCUGCAUCGGAGUUAAAGGCUGGCCUUGCCCAACUCUCACGCUGAGACCUGGACCUCAGAAACUCCAAAACACACACCCUUUACAAAAAUUUGUAAUUUCAUCAUUUCUUGACCAAGUGACUCCAACCGCAGAAAGGCACAGAUUUUCCAUUGGGAUUUAUCCUGCUGCUCCUUUUUUGACCUUACCCAAAGGAUCACAUUCAGGCCAUACCGGAUGUUCCCAAAUCAUUUCCAUCUGACGCCCGGACGGCCCAGGAGGCCUGGCCUUAAGGAGCAACCCCUGGUGAGUGCUAUUUGUGAAGGGACCAAGAUAGAAGCCGUCAGUUGUUUCUGUUCAGCCUGGUCCCAGGCCUCACCAGCAAGGGCUCACUGGUUUUCCUCUGUCAGCUGAGUUUUAGAAACAGGCUGCUGUUUACAUUCUGGCCAAGGACUGAAAUAAGAAAAAAGCAGCUCUUCAUCUCUAUUCUAAUUCCCUCCCCCCUUCUCCCUCCCCACUGUACAAACCACGGGCUUCCCGUGGAGGAGAGCUGAUUUAUAGCAGAUGGGUAAACUGAGGCACUGAGAGGUUGAUCAACGUGUCCUGGCUCUGCUUGAUGGUUGUAUCGCAAGGAAAGGCAUAUAGAAUUCUCUGUCCAGAGGAGAACCUCUGGCAGCUAAGAGUGUUCAAUCAGAAGGAAAACACCACGCUUUUAAAAGAAUCCUUUUCUUGCUAUUUCUGGAAAUGGUACUUGGAGCCCACCUGCCUGGCUCCAGAUUUUCACAGCUCCCCCAAACACAAGAGAGCCUUUUAGUUCUGUAUUCACCUUCACAGUGACCAACUGAUCAGACAAAACACACCUGGCAGAAAGGAUUUCCAGCUGCUCCAGAGGCAGCAGUGAUUUCAUCAAGGGUGGAGGUUGGGCACACUAGUAUUUAACAGGGAGGCAGGGUCUAAACUGAAAUGAGAUGGGGGUGGGGGUGGGAGCUGUGGGGGUGAGGGUGGGGGGCUAGAACUGGCAGCAGUGGGCCAGGUGUGCACAGAACCUCUGCCUCCGCUGAGAGAGAAUCUGAUGGGAGAGGCUCGUACAAUCGUUCUGUCUCAGACAGUGGUCCGAGCCCAGGAAAGGCACUUAGCCCUACAUCCAGCCCUCUAGGUUGUUUUUCUUUUUAGACUGUAUUUAUUGGAGAUGUUUUAGAUUCACCACAAAUGUGAGAGGAAGGGACAGAGCUUUUCUACACCCCUGUCCCUACACAUGUAGA
rnacentral:lncRNA from 1 species